AUUCUAGGACCUCGGCUGGUUUGAUGAUCACAAAAACAGUGUUGGAACCCUCACAACAAGGCUGGCCUCAGAUGCUGCUCAAGUACAAGGGGUUACGGGACUACGCCUGGCCACCCUGGUGCAGAAUAUUGCCAAUUUAGGCACCGGCGUGAUUCUUGCCUUCGUGUACGGCUGGGAGCUGACCCUGCUCGUACUGGUGUUGGUGCCAAUCUUGGCGGUAGCUGGAACUGUGGAGAUGGAGUUGCUAGCUGGGCAAGCUGCCAAGGACAAGAAGGAGUUGGAGAAGGCUGGACAGAUUGUUACGGAAGCCAUCGACAAUAUCCGUACAGUUGCAUCACUGACCAGGGAAGCCACGUUUGAGUCUUUGUUUCACAAGAAUCUGCAAGCUCCAUACAGGUAUGUGAGGACCU